GAUGAACGCUGGCGGCGUGCCUAAUACAUGCAAGUCGAGCGAACAGAUGAGGAGCUUGCUCCUCUGACGUUAGCGGCGGACGGGUGAGUAACACGUGGAUAACCUACCUAUAAGACUGGGAUAACUUCGGAAAACCGGAGCUAAUACCGGAUAAUAUAUUGAACCGCAUGGUUCAAUAGUGAAAGACGGUUUUGCUGUCACUUAUAGAUGGAUCCGCGCCGCAUUAGCUAGUUGGUAAGGUAACGGCUUACCAAGGCAACGAUGCGUAGCCGACCUGAGAGGGUGAUCGGCCACACUGGAACUGAGACACGGUCCAGACUCCUACGGGAGGCAGAAGUAGGGAAUCUUCCGCAAUGGGCGAAAGCCUGACGGAGCAACGCCGCGUGAGUGAUGAAGGUCUUCGGAUCGUAAAACUCUGUUAUUAGGGAAGAACAAAUGUGUAAGUAACUAUGCACGUCUUGACGGUACCUAAUCAGAAAGCCACGGCUAACUACGUG
rnacentral:rRNA from 1 species